rnacentral:tRNA from 1 species
GUGGGCGUAGCUCAAGUGGUAGAGCGCCAGACUGUGGCUCUGGUGGCUGGGGGUUCGAGUCCCCUCGCCCACC